UACGGGGGGGGGCAAGCGUUUGUUCGGAAUUACUGGGCGUAAAGGGCUCGUAGGCGGCCAACUAAGUCAGACGUGAAAUCCCUCGGCUUAACCGGGGGAACUGCGUCUGAUACUGGAUGGCUUGAGGUUGGGAGAGGGAUGCGGAAUUCCAGGUGUAGCGGUGAAAUGCGUAGAUAUCUGGAGGAACACCGGUGGCGAAGGCGGCAUCCUGGACCAAUUCUGACGCUGAGGAGCGAAAGCCAGGGGAGCAAACGGG
rnacentral:rRNA from 1 species